rnacentral:lncRNA from 1 species
AUGCGAGUGAAAGAGCUUUGUGUCUCGCCGCUCCGCGCCCGGGAGCCGCGCGCAAGAAGCCAGUUGCUGGGAUGCAAGCGCUGGAGAGCGGCAUUGUCUGCCUCUGCACCGAGCCUUCCAGCCCCCUUCCCUGCUGGGCCCCUGCACUGGAAAGCAGCAGCCCGGAGGAGCGCAGCCCCGCACACGAGGGUGCCGGGGGAGGAGGACAGCCCCCUGCGAGCAGCUCGGGGAGCUGGAGGCGUUGCUGCGGGCUGCACGGCCGGGCACGUGUGGGUGGGUGCAGCGGUCAGGCCUCGAGGACCCCAGCAGGUGGAACGAGAGCCGGGGUCUGGGGUGGGGGUGGGACCCGCAGGUACUCACGCACUGGCCGGGGGUCUGGAAGAAGCGGCAGGAGCAGAGGAACUGGCAGCACAUGGGGUCGCGGUGGUACAGGAGCAGCAGCAGGAUGAGGACGGCCACGAUGAACACGGACGUGGACACCGCUGCCGGAGGUGGGACAAGGAGGGCACAAGGGUGAGCCGAGCCGGGCAGGGCCUGCCAGCAGCUGCCCCCCUUCCCCCCCUGCGUUUCUGGGCACAAAAUCAUCUUGGAAACAAACCGCAGACACCGGCUUUGCCUGCCACCCAACCCCAGGAUGCCAAAAGCCCCGCUUGUCCCCCCACACCUCUCACUGUGGGGUCAGGGGCACGGCCCAGGGCUCAGGGGGCUCAGCCCCAGUUCUGCACCCACAGCUCUGGGGGGAGGCACCUGCCCGGCUCCAGCAGCUGCAGGUCCCCAGCUGGGGCUGCACAGCACCGGGUCAGGCCCCCAGCCCUGUUUCCAGCCCCAUUACCCCAUUCCCAACACCGUUCCCAGCCCCAUUCUCAGUCCCAUUCCCCUACUCCCAGCCCCAUUCCCCUGCUCCCAGUCCAUUCCUCUGUCCCAAGCUCCAUCCCCAGCCUGUUCCCAGACCAUUACCCCAUUCCCUAUCCCAUUCCCCUGUCCCCAGCCCUGUUCCCCCAUUCCCAGCCCCAUUACCCUACUCCCAGCCCAUUCCUCUCUCCCAGGCUCCGUCCCCAGCCCCAUUACCCCAUUCCCAUUCCGGUUCCCCCAUUCCUAGCCCCAUUACCCCCCUCCCCUUCUCCCCGCUGCUCACUGGCGGCGAUGACGAUGGCCAGCACGUUGCCGUCCAUGGCGGCCCCGCCGUCCCCGGGGUGCGCCAUCCCUCCCCUCAGCCCGGCCGGCCCGGCCCGGCCGCCCCGCGGCGGGGCCCGGCCCUGCCCCAAGCCCCGCACCGGCCCCGGGCCCGCCCCC